UACGUAGGUGGCUAGCCUUGUCCGGAUUUACUGGGCGUAAAGAGCGCGCAGGCGGUCGUUCAAGUCGAGUGUGAAAGCCCCCGGCUCAACUGGGGAGGGUCACUCGAUACUGAUCGACUCGAAGGCAGGAGAGGGAAGCGGAAUUCCCGGUGUAGUGGUGAAAUGCGUAGAUAUCGGGAGGAACACCGGUGGCGAAGGCGGCGAGCUGGCCUGUAACUGACGCUGAGGCGCGAAAGCGUGGGGAGCAAACAGG
rnacentral:rRNA from 1 species